rnacentral:rRNA from 1 species
AUUGAACGCUGGCGGCCGGCCUAACACAUGCAAGUCGAACGGAGUGGCUGACGGGUGAGUAAUGCCUAUGAAUCUGCCUGGUAGGGGGUGAUCACGUCCGGCAACGGGAGCUAAUACCGCAUACUAUAAGAUGAGCAUAGGUCGGAUUGGCUAGUUGGUGGGGUAAGGGUCUACCAAGGCGACGAGCCGUAACUGGUCUGAGAGCAUGCUCAGGAAAGCUGGUACGUGGAUACGGUCCAGCCUCCUACUGUGGGCAGCAGCGGGGAAGUGUGUAUAAUGGCAGAAAGCGUGAGCCAGCCAUGCAGCGUGUGUAAAGAAGUUGUUCGGAUUGUAAAGCACUUGAAGUUGGGAGGCGAUACUAACAGAAUAAGCACCGGCUAACUUCGUGCCAGCAGCUGCGGUAAGAU